AUCUACCUGACGAGUCCCAAACAGGACGACACGCGCGUCCUAAAU
rnacentral:hammerhead_ribozyme from 1 species